rnacentral:rRNA from 1 species
AGUGAGCGCUGGCGGUAGGCCUAACACAUGCAAGUCGAACGGCAGCACAGUAAGAGCUUGCUCUUACGGGUGGCGAGUGGCGGACGGGUGAGGAAUACAUCGGAAUCUACUUUUUCGUGGGGGAUAACGUAGGGAAACUUACGCUAAUACCGCAUACGACCUACGGGUGAAAGCAGGGGAUCUUCGGACCUUGCGCGAUUGAAUGAGCCGAUGUCGGAUUAGCUAGUUGGCGGGGUAAAGGCCCACCAAGGCGACGAUCCGUAGCUGGUCUGAGAGGAUGAUCAGCCACACUGGAACUGAGAAACGGUCCAGAAUCCUACGGGAGGCAGCAGUGGGGAAUAUUGGACAAUGGGGGGAAGCCUGAUCCAGCCAUACCGCGUGGGUGGAGAAGGCCUUCGGGUUGUAAAGCCCUUUUGUUGGGAAAGAAAAGCAGCAGGUUAAUACCCCGCUGUUCUGACGGUACCCAAAGAAUAAGCACCGGCUAACUUCGUG